UACGUAGGGGGCAAGCGUUGUUCGGAAUUAUUGGGCGUAAAGGGUGCGUAGGCGGUUUGGUAAGUCUGAUGUGAAAUCUAUGGGCUCAACUCAUAGUCUGCAUCGGAAACUGCCGGGCUUGAGUGUGGGAGAGGUGAGUGGAAUUCCUGGUGUAGCGGUGAAAUGCGUAGAUAUCAGGAGGAACACCGGUGGCGAAGGCGGUUCUCUGGGCAUGUCCUGACGCUGAGGAGCGAAAGUGUGGGGAGCGAACAGG
rnacentral:rRNA from 1 species